rnacentral:rRNA from 1 species
AGUCGAACGAAGUAGCAAUACUUAGUGGCAGACGGGUGAGUAACAUGUGGGUAUCUACCCUUUGGCCUGGAAUAACACGAGGAAACUUGUGCUAAUACUGGAUAAGUCUUUACGGAGAAAGCUUUAUGCACCAUUGGAUGAGCCCGCACUUGAUUAGUUUGUUGGUAGGGUAAUGGCCUACCAAGACUAUGAUCAAUAGCUGAUUUGAGAGGAUGAUCAGCCACAUUGGGACUGAGACACGGCCCAAACUCCUACGGGAGGCAGCAGUGGGGAAUCUUGCACAAUGGAGGAAACUCUGAUGCAGCGAUGCCGCGUGAGUGAAGAAGGCCCUUGGGUUGUAAAGCUCUUUCGUCGGGGAAGAAAAUGACUGUACCCGAAUAAGAAGGUCCGGCUAACUUCGUGCCAGCAGCCGCGGUAAUACGAAGGGACCUAGCGUAGUUCGGAAUUACUGGGCUUAAAGAGUUCGUAGGUGGUUGAAAAAGUUGGUGGUGAAAUCCCAGAGCUUAACUCUGGAACUGCCAUCAAAACUUUUCAGCUAGAGUUUGAUAGAGGAAAGCAGAAUUUCUAGUGUAGAGGUGAAAUUCGUAGAUAUUAGAAAGAAUACCAAUUGCGAAGGCAGCUUUCUGGAUCAUUACUGACACUGAGGAACGAAAGCAUGGGUAGCGAAGAGGAUUAGAUACCCUCGUAGUCCAUGCCGUAAACGAUGUGUGUUAGACGUUGGAAAUUUAUUUUCAGUGUCGCAGCGAAAGCGAUAAACACACCGCCUGGGGAGUACGACCGCAAGGUUAAAACUCAAAUGAAUUGACGGGGACCCGCACAAGUAGUGGAGCAUGUGGUUUAAUUCGAAGAUACGCGCAGAACCUUACCAACACUUGACAUGUUCGUCGCGACUUUAAGAGAUUAAAGUUUUCGGUUCGGCCGGACGAAACACAGGUGCUGCAUGGCUGUCGUCAGCUCGUGUCGUGAGAUGUUGGGUUAAGUCCCGCAACGAGCGCA